rnacentral:lncRNA from 1 species
UAAAUGAAUUAUCAUUGGUGGGUGGUGUCUUUUCAUCUUAGGCUGACUUCCUUCCUAUUUAACAUACAUAAGGAUUCCACUUGUCUGUCAGUUAAUUUGAGCUUGGGGGGUUCCAAAACAGUUUUGAUAAUUACUCCAUGCAAAAUAUAAUAAGGUAAUUUUUCUGAAUUAUAAAGCCAACUGAAUGCUGGGAUUCCAGGUGUGAGCCACCGCGCCCAGCCAAGUUCUGUGAGGUUCUGACAAGGAAAAUCUGGUCAUAUAAUUACAGAUAAUCCCAGUAAGAAUAGGAGGAAGUCAGUAUGAUUUUAUGGGACUUAAAAAAAAAUUAACUCAGUAUGUAUGAAAGUGGAAGGAAACAGGAAAUACAAACAAGAAUGAAUAUAAAACAGUAGUAGACUAAAACAGAUGAUGAACUGAGUCUGAAAAAUGCAGGUGGGCACAGUGGCUCACACCUGUAAUCCCAGGACUUUGGGAAGCUGAGGUGGGAGGAUUGCUUGAAGCCAGGAGUUAUGUGGACCAGUUUGGACCACACAGCAAAGACCCUAUCUCUGUUAAAAAAAAUUUUUUUUUUUUAAAGCAGCAUGGGUAACAUAAGGAGACCACAUAUCUACAAAAAAGAUAAAAAAAUUGACUGGGUGUGGUGGUGCGUGCCUGUGUCCCAGGUACUUGGGAAACAGAGGCAGGAGGAUCACUUGAGCCUGGGAAGUCAAGGCUGCAGUGAGCCACAAUUGUGCCAUUGUACUACAGCCUGGGUGACUGAGUG